rnacentral:misc_RNA from 1 species
CAAAACCAGAAAAUGUUACAUGGACAUGGAUACUUUGCCUAAGGACUUCUUGCUACCCAAGGCUGCUUCUCAUGCUCCUCCACAGACCAAUAUGUCUAAUAAUCGAGGUUUAAGAUCUGGGUUACGACAUAGAAUAUAUGAUCCACACAUGGAGCCCAGGUCAGGAACACCUUCAGAAGAUGAUGAAAAACCAAAUGCAUUAUAUGUAAGGAAUGGAAGUUAUAGGCCUCCUAAGCCCUCACUGGACAAUUCGUUGAAUGAUUUUGAUCAACCUGCUGAUAGAUCUAGAGAUGCCUGGCAAAAUGGUAUACAGAGGAGGCAAAAUACAGCUGGAAUUGGGAGAAGAGACCUGUAAUUGGUGUCCAUGAAUGUGCCACAUAUCACAGGGGCCAAUCAUUUUUGUUCCUGAUGUUGUCUUUGCUCCUGAUUAGGAGAUUGGUUGAUGGCACAGCUAAGCAUACUGAUAUUAUGUGCAACAUGGUUUGGCAUGAAAUACUCCUUGGUGAUGCAAGACUGGAAGUCUCUAUGGAAGUAAGGAAG